CCCUUAGAUGUUCUGGGCCGCACGCGUGCUACACUGAGUGGAUCAGCGGGUCAGGUUGCGCGAAAGCGUUUCCUAAUCUUUAAAUCCGCUCGUGAUGGGGAUUGACGGUUGCAAUUUUCUGUCAUGAACGAGGAAUACCUUGUAAGCGCGGGUCAUCAUCCCGCGCUGAAUACGUCCCUGCCCUUUGUACACACCGCCCGUCGCUCCUACCGAUUGAGUGGUCCGGUGAGGCUUUGGGAUCUGAGCAGAAAGAGCGUUUCGCUGUUUCUGCUCGGAAAACUCAGUCGAACCUUAUCAUUUAGAGGAAGGAGAAGUCGUAACA
rnacentral:rRNA from 1 species